rnacentral:rRNA from 1 species
GGGAAUUUUGGACAAUGGGCGCAAGCCUGAUCCAGCAAUGCCGCGUGAGUGAAGAAGGCCUUCGGGUUGUAAAGCUCUUUUGUCAGGGAAGAAACGGUGAAGGCUAAUAUCCUUUGCUAAUGACGGUACCUGAAGAAUAAGCACCGGCUCACUACGUGCCAGCAGCCGCGGUAAUACGUAGGGUGCAAGCGUUAAUCGGAAUUACUGGGCGUAAAGCGUGCGCAGGCGGUUUUGUAAGUCUGAUGUGAAAUCCUCGGGCUCAACCUGGGAAUUGCAUUGGAGACUGCAAGGCUAGAAUCUGGCAGAGGGGGGUAGAAUUCCACGUGUAGCAGUGAAAUGCGUAGAGAUGUGGAGGAACACCGAUGGCGAAGGCAGCCCCCUGGGUCAAGAUUGACGCUCAUGCACGAAAGCGUGGGGAGCAAA